rnacentral:rRNA from 1 species
GACGAACGCUGGCGGCGUGCUUAACACAUGCAAGUCGAACGGAAAGGCCUGCUUUCCCUUGUGGAUUGCGGGUACUCGAGUGGCGAACGGGUGAGUAACACGUGAGUGAUCUGCCCCCACCUUGGGUAUAAGCCUGGGAAACUGGGUCUAAUUCCCGAUAGGACUGCAGGGUGGUGCCUGUGGUGGACAACGAUUUUCUAGUGGUUGGGGAUGAGCUCGCGGCCUAUGAGCUUGUUGUUGGGGUAAUGGCCUACCAAGGCGGCGACGGGUAGCCGGACGGGGAGGGGGGACGGUGACAUUGGGACUGGGACACGGCCCAGACGGCUACGGGAGGCAGCAGUUGGGGAUAUUGCAGCAUGGGCGGAAGCCUGAUGCAGCGACGCCGUGUGGGGGAUGACGGGCUUCGGGUUGUAAACUACUUGCGACCGCGAGGAAGCCACCUGGUUGGAAGGGUGGUGACGGUAGUGGUAGAAGAAGCACCGGCUAACUACGUG